ensembl:lncRNA
AUGGAGCGGGACAGAAAAUAUCAUAGUUCAUCAGCCAUAAUAAGAGUGUGGGAAACCCUGGUCGAGCGCUGCGUCUGUCACUGGAACGGCCCGUGGACGGCGUGUCGGCCCCUGAAAUCGCUGGCCUUUCCGGUAGGGGCAGGUGGAGGUUACACAAGUCGGUGGAGGUGGAGGCGCUGGGAGGCAGGUGGACGGAUGGGCUCUCUUCUGUUCUCUCUGCUUUGCCAGAGCGAGGCAGGGGGACCCUCUCCCGUGAGGUCAUGGGAAGAAAGACCAGAAUCCCUUUUCUGGCUCAUGCUCCAAAUUGUUGCCCUUUGGGGGUGUCCUGGCUUUAUGGAUGUCUGGAGUCCGAAUUCUCCCGCUUUUAGGGCCCUGCCCCUGCUCUGCCCCCACAUGCUGCCCACGGCAACUGGUUUCAGGCCUGGGACUGAGCCACCUGCAGUGCCCUCCUGCCCGUCCCGCUCCCCUGAGGGCAGCCCCCAUGUGUGGCGGCGUUUCUGUCCUUAUCACCGGCGCAGCCGCAGCCACGGCUUCCACAUCUCACCCAGCGUUUCGGCUGCUCUGAGUCAGAAGCGCUUCGCAGAUGCUUUUACUGAAUUCAGCCACAUAAACAUGGGAACGACUCCCAGGGAGUGGAAGGAAGGAAACCAGGAAACCAGGAGGAAGGGAGCCCAGGAAGGAAACUUAGGUUCAGGAAACCAGUGUGUGUGUGUGUGUGUGUGAGAGAGAGAGAGGGAGACAGAACAAACCUGCCCGGGGUGGAGGAGUCCUUCUCAGCGCAGCAGCACUUCCAGGUUGGCUGCCUCCGCUUUUGUCCCCAUUUUUGCCGGAAUCCCCUGUAAGCCAUGGGAUUUCGGAGAGAAGCACCCGAAGGCCCAGUCGCUUCUCCCUGAGCCCCGGGAUCUUGUGGAAGGCUGGAGCCUGGGCCUCAGCAGCACCGUCUUGCCUUCCCGCUGAGGAGAUGGAGGCGGUCAUUUCCCGGGAGGCCUGUGUGUUCCAGGGGCUGCUGAGUGAGAAGCUCAUUUUGAAUCCGGAGGCAUCGCCCUCAGGAUCAAAAGCGCCAUUGUAUCCUGUUCAAGGUGAAUAAGGGUCUCUUUCUUCUGGAUUCUAUUUUUAGAUGUAAUGUGUUACCACACUCCACUUGUUUGCUAAAUGAACUCAUUUUUAAUCAAAAAUUGCUAUCAUUAAUUAUCAGCUGUGUAAUCAAUAUUCAUUUUAAUUCCGCAGAUAAGACUCCCCCUUGAGUUCCCCACCGGACUCGCACACACUCACACACACCCCACAAGGAAAUUUAUUUUCAUCAGGAUUCUAUGCAUCAUUAAGAGGUAGUUUGUCUUAUUACAGCCUGUUAUUAAUGUUCAGAAUUCAUUUAAUUUCACUUUUAACUGACUGUAGCAAUGGGAUAAUUGAUUUCAUCGGGGAGGCCAUGGCAGCCCCAGUGCUGGAAAGUGGCAGGAAAGGUGAAGUUGGGUGUCCUCAGGGCCCAGGGGGACCUGAACCCUCAAGUACCCCCCCCCAGGGCUCUCAGACUUCACUCUCACUCUCCUCUCCCUCCCACCAGCACCUCAGUCAAGGGAACUCAUUCACAGCUCACCCUGUUCUUGACUGCAUGGUAUUACGGACAAGGAAAGAGCCCAAGGUGGCUGGCCACACACAGCCCCGCUGAGCCAGGGAGGACGGAAGGUGCCCCGCGCCUCCUGCCCGGUCCGUGCCCUCCAGCCUCUCCAGCACGGCCCACCACAGCAGGGGGCUUUCUCUCUGGGCCCCGCAGGAACGGCGUGCUGCCUCCUCGCUGGGCUGGGGGCUUUGUGGGAGCAUUGUCCUGACGGCCUGCACUUGUAGCAUGGGCUGGAUCAUGCAAGUGUCUCCGGAAAGAGAGGAGAGACCAAGCUCAAGUUCACUGAUGGCCUCAAGAAGCAGACACAGCAGACUCCAAAACUCAGGACCCCCACUAACCCUGUCUAGAUGCAGUGUCUCCCAGACACACAUAAAAGCACAGCCGAGAUCUGAGGCUGGGCCACGUAAAGCUAGUCGGCUGGUCAGACAGCGGUAACGUGAUGUUCUACAUUUAACACACAAAAACGAUAUUUCUGGAAUUCUCAUAAAGAAAGUAAAUGGCAACUUUCUUGUGCGAUGAUGCUUAAGAGUCUUACAUAAUAACUGCGUGGGAAGGGCAUUCCAGAAGCUCACAACAAUGGCAAAAGCCAUAUAUGAAAAUUUCCGAUGCUUGCGCAAAUAAAUAUUUAUGACUUCUCUAUGCCAAAAUAAAAUUAAAAGGCUGCCAACUGGGUAAUACUUGGGAUUUAUGUGACAAAGAGUGAACAUUCCCUAUGUAGAAAAUGCUUUUACAAAUCCAUAAGGAAGUGAUGAAAAAUGCUUAAAAAUGGGCACAGGGAACCGUCUGGCAAUUCAGAAAGGGAUAUUCACAAACGAGCCAUCAGCAGACCAGGAAACACUCAGGACUUCCGCCCACCGAUAGUGGAGGAUGCGUUACCUGGCAGAAGAGCACCGUGGUGUCUAUGCUCGAACCAGCCCUGGGUGGGGGGUGGAAGGGGCUCCCCCUGACUCGGGGUCCCGGGCGGAGGGUGGAAGAGGCUCCCCCCUGGCUCGGGGUCCUGGGCGGAGGGUGGAGGGGGCUCCCCCUGACUCGGGGCCCGGGGCGGGGGUGGAGGGGGCUCCCCCUGACUCGGGGCCCACAGGGUUGACUUUCCAUCAUCCUGCCUCGGAGCCUCCCAAGUAGCUGGGAUUAUAGGUGCCCGCCACUGUGCCCAGCUUGAAUUUUUGUAUUUUUGGUAGAGACAAGGAUUGUCGACAAACAUCAUUGGCCUGAUGCUGGUCUUGAACAUCCAUGUAACCUCAUGAG